CUCGGGAGGAGGGAGGUGGUGCCACGAUGAGCACAUCAAGUGUUUUCUCUAAGUUACUCUUCUUCAAGCAAGGCUGAAAAAUGAACUCUAGAUACAAAGAUGCCAUGGGAAGCUCUUAAUCUUACGAAAAAGAGCCUGAGGACAUUCUGAUGCUUCUGCAUGAAGAGAGAAAGCAGUCCACAGUGCCAAGAUAAAGCUGAGGUGUGACACCAAAGGGUCUCUGGACUGGCAGUGCCCGACCCACCGGGAGCCCCUGCAGCCAAGCUUCCACCUCCUCA
rnacentral:lncRNA from 1 species